GGCCACCGCGCAGCAUGGUGGGGUCCCUCCCCGACCUCACAGACGAGAGCGAGGGAGCCUCUGCUGCUGGGGGCCUGCCCUGGGGCCUCACGCCGCCCCAGCGUCGCCACUGACAAAGCCUCAGACAUCCAGCGACGUGGGCUCUGAGUCCAGGGUGCGGGGCCGUCAGACAUUUCAGCUGCAUCUUCACAUUCGUUUGUGCCCACGGUCAGCAGAGUCCUCGGGAGGCCGGGGCCUGAGUCACCCCUGGCCCGGGGGAGGACGCCCUGGGCAGGCCCUGGCUCACCCCUCCCGCACCGCACACCCCUCGGCGCACCUGCCAUCUGCACCUGCCUCCUCCAAAUCCCACCGCUGACUCCCCCCCACCCCACCGAGGGCCUAGAUAAACGCAUCUGCGAGCCCUCGGCCCACGCAGAGGGUGUUGGAUGUUGCACAGAUGUUCCCCCAAGACAAACGGUCAUGAAAGAGGAAAAAAUAAUCAUAUAAGUGAACGAAAGGAAAUUGCAGCAAAACCUAAAGUUCCUGGAGAUGAAGGUGGAAAACAGGUAGUUGGAGAGCAGCUGUCCUCAGCACGCUGGCCGGAGCUCGCUGGCGCCGUGACUCGUGAGGGGACUGCACCUGGAGCCCAGGUACCAUCUUCUGGAAAUGCACAUUCAUAGAUUAUUUUAAAAUCACAGUUUCCGUUAUCCUAGUGGAAAUUCAGUCGGUUUGCACUUCUCUGAUCAAUUAUAACCCAUUAAGUCCUCGAAAGUGAUUUGGAAAUGACCGUGCUGUGCCGCAGUGACCCCACGGACCUGAGACGCAAGGGGAGCCCGUGGCCCUGAACCUCUCUAGUGGGACGGCGCGACCGCGGAGCCCAUGUGAGCAGCGAGUGGGAACACAGAGGAAUGUGAAGAGGCCGUAAAACACCGUUGGGUUCGAGGCUCCCGUCCUGCCCCCCGGACACUGUGGGCUCCCCGAGACCCCAAUCCUGCCCCUGGACACUGUUGGCUUCCCGAGGCCCCCAUCCUGCGCCCCUGGACACC
rnacentral:lncRNA from 1 species